rnacentral:rRNA from 1 species
AUAAUACUCCAUAGAUUAGAGACACUGGAAUGUUCUUUAGUCGAAAGUUCUGGCGCCUUAGGAUGGAUCUGCGGUCGAUUAGGUUGUUGUUGGGGUAACGGCCCAACAAGCCUGUAAUCGAUACGGGUUGUGGGAGCAAGAGCCCGGAGAUGGAAUCUGAGACACGAUUCCAGGCCCUACGGGGCGCAGCAGGCGCGAAAACUUUACAAUGCAGGAAACUGUGAUAAGGGAACUCCGAGUGCCCGUAUACGCGGGCUGUCCAGGUGUUUAAAAAUCAUCUGAAGAAAGGGCCGGGCAAGACCGGUGCCAGCCGCCGCGGUAAUACCGGCGGCUCGAGUGGUGGCCACUAUUAUUGGGCUUAAAGCGUCCGUAGCUGGACCGAUAAGUCUCUUGGGAAAUCCGCCGGCUCAACCGGCGGGCGUCUAAGGGAUACUGUUAGUCUAGGGACCGGGAGAGGUGAGAGGUACUCCGGGGGUAGGAGUGAAAUCCUAUAAUCCCCGGGGGACCACCGAUGGCGAAGGCAUCUCACCAGAACGGCUCCGACAGUGAGGGACGAAAGCUGGGGGAGCGAACCGGAUUAGAUACCCGGGUAGUCCCAGCCGUAAACUAUGCGCGUUAGGUGU